UACGUAGGGGGCAAGCGUUGUCCGGAUUUAUUGGGCGUAAAGAGCGUGUAGGCGGUUUGGUAGGUCCGCUGUGAAAACUCGAGGCUCAACCUCGAGACGCCGGUGGAAACCAUCAGACUAGAGUCCGGAAGAGGAGAGUGGAAUUCCUGGUGUAGCGGUGAAAUGCGUAGAUAUCAGGAGGAACACCUGCGGUGUAGACGGCUUACUGGACCAUAACUGACGCUGAGGCACGAAAGCGUGGGUAGCAAACAGG
rnacentral:rRNA from 1 species